CUCCGCACUUCUGGUUCCUGGGUCAGAGCUGGGCUCGGUGACUGUGUACUUAGGCAGCAGGUGAAGGUUCCCUAGCACCAGCCCUGGGCUGCACUCCAGGGGAGAGCCAGGAUGAGUCAGACUCUGGGGCCUCAGAGAGACGUUCCCACUGUCCUGCUCCCCUGGGCGUUUGCCCAUCUGGGUAUCUCAUUGCUGCCAUUUUUGUGAAUCUUACCAUCUGACUUUGAGAUGAGGGGCCAGACUGAGUUUACUGCCAGUCCUGGGUCCCAGCUCAGGGCUUGGUUUGAGACAAAUGUUAGGCCUGCUUUUGGUUUUUGGUUUUAAAACAAAUGUAGAAAGGUGCUGAGAGAGGUUAAUUUGCCCAGCUAAAUCUAGAAUUGGGAUCAGGUGACCCAAAGCCUAAGUUCUUUGUGACUAAGUUAGGCUGUCUCUGCAAUAAAGUGUAUAAUCAUAAUUUAACAGGCAUGCACAACUAUGUUUCAGUCUUGUAGUGGGUAGUUUUGGAACAGUCGUGACCUAGGCACACACAUCACCCUGUAGUGACACUCCAAAAGGUUUCUGGGCUUAAUUGGAAAGCCCAAGGAGCCAGUCGGCAGGAGAGCAGAGCUCAAGAAAGGUCCAGAGGCCAAUAAGAGUUGGAAGAGGGAAGGGUCUCAGGCUCGAGACACAACUGCAUGAGGGCUCAGGAGAGACUGGCCCAUUGGGACAAACCUUCCAAGGACUGUCUUCUGUGCUUAGCAGCCCCUCUUCCAGAACA